GAUAAGUUGAGGAUAGAGAGAUGGGAAGUGGAGCUGGAAGAUGACGAGGAGGCGUUUUCGGUUGUUGUCUGGAGGCGUUUUCAUCGGCUGUCAUAAGACGUUCUCCGUGUCUCCACUACCGCCCAAUUUAGUGUACGAGGUCAACAUGUCUCAUGUAUGUACGAGUCGCGAUACUAUUCCUCAUGUAUGCACGAGUACGAUACUAUCGCUCAACAUGUACAAGUUUAGGGGGUCCAGAUCUGAUUAGAGCAUGGUUAGUAUCGGCCAGAAAGCGAGCGAAUCACGAAGAUUCGAACGGCGGAAUGACUAACAAGCGGCGGAAAAGCUCGAACCACAGUCUAGAACAUGUGGGGUGACAUGCAGAUAAUACGACGAAGAUGAUCAUGGGUUCAGGUUUGUU
rnacentral:misc_RNA from 1 species